CUAAUACAUGCAAGUCGAGCGAACUGAUUAGAAGCUUGCUUCUAUGACGUUAGCGGCGGACGGGUGAGUAACACGUGGGCAACCUGCCUGUAAGACUGGGAUAACUUCGGGAAACCGAAGCUAAUACCGGAUAGGAUCUUCUCCUUCAUGGGAGAUGAUUGAAAGAUGGUUUCGGCUAUCACUUACAGAUGGGCCCGCGGUGCAUUAGCUAGUUGGUGAGGUAACGGCUCACCAAGGCAACGAUGCAUAGCCGACCUGAGAGGGUGAUCGGCCACACUGGGACUGAGACACGGCCCAGACUCCUACGGGAGGCAGCAGUAGGGAAUCUUCCGCAAUGGACGAAAGUCUGACGGAGCAACGCCGCGUGAGUGAUGAAGGCUUUCGGGUCGUAAAACUCUGUUGUUAGGGAAGAACAAGUACGAGAGUAACUGCUCGUACCUUGACGGUACCUAACCAGAAAGCCACGGCUAACUACGUGCCAGCAGCCGCGGUAAUACGUAGGUGGCAAGCGUUAUCCGGAAUUAUUGGGCGUAAAGCGCGCGCAGGCGGUUUCUUAAGUCUGAUGUGAAAGCCCACGGCUCAACCGUGGAGGGUCAUUGGAAACUGGGGAACUUGAGUGCAGAAGAGAAAAGCGGAAUUCCACGUGUAGCGGUGAAAUGCGUAGAGAUGUGGAGGAACACCAGUGGCGAAGGCGGCUUUUUGGUCUGUAACUGACGCUGAGGCGCG
rnacentral:rRNA from 2 species